rnacentral:sRNA from 2 species
CUCCAACUAAUUCUCUAAUCUCUAAUUUAAUUCUUUAAUCUAGUCUUCUAAUCUACUAUCUCUAAUCAAUCUCUAAUCCUACCCUCUCGGGGCUCCAGCCCGCUAUGAAUAUUGACUAAAUAGUAACCUACAGCACUAAACUAGCUACUAUGAAUUAUCACAGCAAUGAAGUGGAUGAUGCAACCUACUGCUGCUAAGGAGAUGUUGUUCAGGAGCGAGAGCCAAAUGAAAACCACCAAACCAAUGAUUCAAAAUCCAAAACAAUCGUCUCAACUAACUCCAAAACACAAAAAAAAAAGUCAAUCAGACUCGAAAUGACGGAACAGGAGAUGUUCGUGCAUGUGUGCUGAGAAUACGUGCUACGAGUUGACAGCCAGACAUGAAUCAUCUGGGUGCAGAGUCGAGCAUUUCACUUUAGCGGAUACUUAUUUUGCAGGAACCAUCUACACAAACAAUUCCAGUCAGCAAAGCCCAAAAAGGGAGAAAAAGGAAACUCACUUGCUAACAUAAUAAUCCACAAAUCCAAGCGCACCUACCGCGCUAGACCACAGCCCCAGUAUAUUCCACGUUAACGCACCCCGAGCAUGC